rnacentral:rRNA from 1 species
UACGUAGGGGGCUAGCGUUGUCCGGAUUUAUUGGGCGUAAAGAGCGUGUAGGCGGCCAGGUAGGUCUGCUGUGAAAACUCGAGGCUCAACCUCGAGACGUCGGCGGAAACCAUCUGGCUAGAGUCCGGAAGAGGAGUGUGGAAUUCCCGGUGUAGCGGUGAAAUGCGCAGAUAUCGGGAAGAACACCCGUGGCGAAGGCGGCACUCUGGGACGGUACUGACGCUGAGACGCGAAAGCGUGGGGAGCGAACAGG